CCACGGGUGGCAGCAGUGGGGAAUAUUGGACAAUGGGGGGAACCCUGAUCCAGCGACGCCGCGUGAGUGAAGAAGUAUUUCGGUAUGUAAAGCUCUAUCAGCAGGGAAGAAAAUGACGGUACCUGACUAAGAAGCCCCGGCUAACUACGUGCCAGCAGCCGCGGUAAUACGGAGGGGGCAAGCGGUAUCCGGAUUUACUGGGUGGAAAGGGAGCGUAGACGGUGCAGCAAGUCUGAUGUGAAAGGUCGGGGCCCAACCCCGGGACUGCAUUGGAAACUGUUGAACUGGAGUACAGGAGAGGUAAGCGGAAUUCCUAGUGUAGCGGUGAAAUGCGUAGAUAUUAGGAGGAACACCAGUGGCGAAGGCGGCUUACUGGACUGUAACUGACGUUGAGGCUCGAAAGCGUGGGGAGCAAACAGGAUUAGAUACCCUUGUAGUC
rnacentral:rRNA from 1 species